GGAGAGGUCGGAUAGUGGCUUAUUCCAGAGGUUUUGAAAACCUCCGUCCGCAAGGACUCGUGGGUUCGAAUCCCACCCUCUCCG
rnacentral:tRNA from 1 species